rnacentral:rRNA from 1 species
GAUGAACGCUAGCGGCAGGCUUAACACAUGCAAGUCGAGGGGCAGCACGGGUAGCAAUACCUGGUGGCGACCGGCGCACGGGUGAGUAACGCGUAUGCAACCUACCUUCAACUGGGGGAU